UGGCCUCAGAUCAGGGAGGAUCACCCGCCGAAUUUAAGCAUAUUAGUAAGCGGAGGAAAAGAAACUAACCAGGAUUUCGUCAGUAGCGGCGAGCGAACGCGAAUCAGCCCAGCACUGAAUCGCGCGGCUUUAACGGUCGCGGGAGAUGUGGUGUUCGGGAGGUUCCGCUAUCUCGCCGUCGCCGCUCCCGUCAAAGUUCGUCUUGAACGGGGCCGCUUUCCCGUAGAGGGUGCCAGGCCCGUAGCGACGGAGCGAGGCGGCGAGAGGGACGCUCCUCAGAGUCGGGUUGCUUGAGAGUGCAGCCCUAAGUGGGUGGUAAACUCCAUCUAAGGCUAAAUAUUACCGCGAGACCGAUAGCGAACAAGUACCGUGAGGGAAAGUUGAAAAGAACUUUGAAGAGAGAGUUCAAGAGUACGUGAAACCGUUCAGGGGUAAACCUGCGAAACUCGAAUGAACGAACGGAGAGAUUCAUCGACAUCCGACGGCGCGCGGGCGCGCGCCUCGAUGUCGCGCGCGUGCCCCCUCGCGGGUGCCGCGGCGCGGCACGGGUCGCGUCCGUCCAGUACCGUCGGCGUCGUGCACUUCUCUCUCAGUAAUGCAUCGCGACCCGUUCGACGUCGGCUUGAGCGCCGUCCGAUUCGCCCAGCGGCGGGCUCGCGCCCUCCGCUGGACCGCGACGGUGGCCGGCCGGCUGUCGGACGGUAUAGAAGUGAACCGCGCACGCGCCUCGCGCGCGUCCGGCCCGACGCAAGCUCGCGCCGUACACACUGAAGGUCGCGGUCCUGCCUGAGCGCGGACCGCGACGCGGCGCCGCUGCUGUCGCAGCCGUGACGUCUCGGACCGUGCGCGUCUCAGUCUGCGAUGAGUCAUUUUCGGGCACUCGCAGGACCCGUCUUGAAACACGGACCAAGGAGUCUAGCAUGUGUGCGAGUCAUUGAGUUGUCUUUGUCACAAAACUGAAAGGCGCAACGAAAGUGAACGUAGGGAGGAUGGAGCGCCGGUCCCGGUCGGCCUCCCGCACUCCCGAGGCGUCUCGUUUCCAAUCCGUGAAUGCAGGCGCGCUCCGAGCACAGAUGCUGGGACCCGAAAGAUGGUGAACUAUGCCUGGUCAGGUCGAAGUCAGGGGAAACCCUGAUGGAGGACCGUAGCGAUUCUGACGUGCAAAUCGAUCGUCGGAACUGGGUAUAGGGGCGAAAGACUAAUCGAACCAUCUAGUAGCUGGUUCCGUCCGAAGUUUCCCUCAGGAUAGCUGGCGUCGACAGCGACAGUCCCAUCCGGUAAAGCGAAUGAUUAGAGGCAUUGGGGCCGAAACGACCUCAACCUAUUCUCAAACUUUAAAUGGGUGAGAGCUCCGGCUUACUCGAACGAUGAAGCCGGAGAUCUGAUGACGGUGCCAAGUGGGCCAAUUUUGGUAAGCAGAACUGGCGCUGUGGGAUGAACCAAACGUAGUGUUAAGGCGCCUAAAAAACGCUCAUGGGACACCAUGAAAGGCGUUGGUCGCUCAUGACAGCAGGACGGUGGCCAUGGAAGUCGGAAUCCGCUAAGGAGUGUGCAACGACUCACCUGCCGAAGCAACCAGCCCUGAAAAUGGAUGGCGCUGAAGCGUUUUGCCUAUACAAUACCGUUACGGGCAAGUGGGACGCGCGCUCCUCGGACGCGCGUCAUUAUGCCGUAACGAGUAGGACGUGCGCGGCGGAGAGCGCAGAAGGGUCUGGGCGUGAGCCCGCUUGGAGCCUCCGUCGGUGCAGAUCUUGGUGGUAGUAGCAAAUACUCCAGCGAGGCCCUGGAGGACUGACGUGGAGAAGGGUUUCGCGUGAACAGUAGUUGCUCGCGAGUCAGUCGAUCCUAAGCUCAAGGAGAGAUCUUAUGUCGAUGCGGCGUGUUUUCUUUUGUGACAAACAACGCCCGUUGAGCGAAAGGGAAUCCGGUUCCUAUUCCGGAACCCGGCAGCGGAACCGUUUCAACAAUCGUUCCCUCGUUUCAAAGCGAGCGUUCGACGGGGUAACCCAAAGUGGCCUGAAGACGCCGCCGAGGGGUCCGGGAAGAGUUUUCUUUUCUGCCUGAGCGUUCGAGUUCCAUGGAAUCCUAUAGAAGGGAGAUAUGGUUCGGAACGCGAAGAGCACCGCAUUUGCGGCGGUGUCCGGAUACUCUCUGCGGACCUUGAAAAUUCAGGUGAGGGAUGUACGUGGAGAUGUCGCGCCGGUUCGUACCCAUAUCCGCAGCAGGUCUCCAAGGUGAAGAGCCUCUAGUCGAUAGAAUAAUGUAGGUAAGGGAAGUCGGCAAAUUGGAUCCGUAACUUCGGAAUAAGGAUUGGCUCUGAGGACCGGGGCGUGUCGGGUUUGGACGGGAAGCGGAUGCGGCCGGUGCCGGGCCUGGUCGAUGCUCGUGCGUCUCUCGGGGCGCUCGGGCGGAAUCCGGACCCGCGUUCCGGCCUUCCGCGGAUCUUCCUAGCCGUAAGGCCGCGUCGGUUUCGUCUCGUGCGCGACCGGCGCGGUUCUGU